GGGGCUGUGGUGCAGUUGGGAGCACAUCUGACUGGCAGUCAGAAGGUCGCGGGUUCGACCCCCGCCAGCUCCA
rnacentral:tRNA from 1 species